rnacentral:rRNA from 1 species
AUGCAGCUUCUCAAAGAAACAAUGUUUGCAGACAACUCUGCGAACAGUAGAGCAGCCAUGAACUUUUCUUCCAUGUUGCUUGGCAGUUCAACCAUGUGUGUAUCCUCCGAUGAAGAGGGCAUCGACACCUAUACCUUUGAUAUGGUUAGCCAUACGUGGUCACACGCCAGGAAUUGGGCGCUGCCCUUCCGUGGCAAAGAAGGUUAUGUCCCUGAGCUAAAGCUUUGGUUCGCCCUCUCUCUCAGCAGCCCCCACGGUUUGUAUGCUCUGGACCUCCCUGCCAUGGAUUUUGAGUCGUGA